UGUUGUCCAAGAUGGAGGGCGCCCUGUCGGCGCCGCUGCCCGUCCGGCUGUUGCUGUUCGUGGCGCUGCCAGCCGCGGGAUGGCUGACCACCAGCGCGCCCAGGCUGCCGUCCACAGCCCCGCAGGAUGCCAUCCAAAUCAAUGUAACUACCCUGAGCAAGAAUGGGGAAGUAUCUAAAGAACAGGUUGUUCUUAACAUAACCUAUGAGAGUGGACAGGUAUAUGUAAAUGACUUACCUGUAAAUAGUGGUGUCACCCGGAUAAGCUGUCAGACUUUGAUAGUGAAGAGUGAAAAUGUGGAAAAUUUGGAGGAGAAAGAAUAUUUUGGAAUUGUCACUGUAAGGAUCUUAGUUCUUGAGAGGCCUGUGACACACAGUUCCGGUUCACAGCUCAUUGUCCUUCAAGAAGAGGUUGUGGAGAUUGAUGGAAGACAAGCUCAACAAAAGAAUGUUACUGAAAUUGACAUUUUAGUUAAGAAUCAGAGAGUACUCAGAUAUUCAAGCUAUUUCCUUCCUUUGGAAGAAAGCAUGCUUUAUUCUAUUUCUCAAGACAGCGACAUUUUAUUCACACUUCCUGACUUUUCCAAAAAAGUAGGAACUGUUAGCUCACUGCAGACCACCAGCCACUACCUCAUGGGGAACGUGGAAACCACUGUGGACGGAAAUGCUUUACCUGGCAAGUUACCUGAGACUCCUCUCAGAGCAGAGCCUCCAUCUUCAUACAAGGUAAUGUGCCAGUGGUUGGAGAAGCUGAGGAAGGCGCUCUGUCGGUUCUGGAGCAAUGUGGUCCCGGUGCUCUUCAUGUUUCUGGACGUCAUGGUGGUUGGAGUUCUGGGAGCAGCAGGAGUCAUAGCGGUGUUAAAGCUGCUCUUCCCAGUGUGUGAGAGCAAAAUUGCUUUAUUUUUAAUUAUUGCAUGAAGGAGAGAGUUUGUGACCAAAGAGGGCACUGGAUCUCCUGCAGCUGGAGCUGUCUGCCUUGGGCACUGAGAACCACACUCGAGUGGGCUGGCUCUGAUAGUAUCUCAAGGUGCAAGGCGGGCUGACAAGGGAGAAAGGCAACCAACAGUCCAACCCAGCUGAUACCUCUACCAACCCUACAGCUACAGCUCAAGGGACAGCACCUAAAAGGAGGCAGAAAGACGGGAAGAGCCAAAGGAUCAGGGAGAGAGUGUCUUCUAGACAUGACAGGGAAGCUGCACCCAUGAAAUCCUAACAAUAUGGCUGCCGAAACAAGACCUGCACAAUGACACCAGUUAACGUGCCAAUGUGGAUGGAGGAACUCCCUAAGGCAUCGACCUGAAAUGAAGGCUACAGGCAACUAAUGGGUGCAGGGAGGGGGAUAAUCAGUCUUCUCCAGAGACAGGCCAACAGGUAGGUUACCCAACCCCAAUGUCAGCACUAAACAUACAUAUGACGGAGAGGGGGUGGGGAUUCCUAUCUUAAUCACUAUGUAGUAGUGUCACUGACAACCUAAUAUGGAAUCAGCUGCACUACUUUUUAGAGGCAAGACUUCAGUCAUCAGUGAAGCUUAACAAAGUCUUUAAAAGGUGGGCAAGUUCAAUCCAAACAGUAUCGGAGCUUGUAGAAUUAUAUUGUUCCUUCUGGUACUGAUCUUUGUGAGGUGAAAUUAAGAAAGAGGAACUCCAGUUAGCCCUGCUCAGAGGUCAUGAUGGGCAGCAGGGUGGCUGUCAUCUGGGUGGCAAAGCUAUCUGCUCCAUUCACAGGGUUCCCUGACAGACAGAAGGGUCAGGCUAGCCCAUGUCAUCUCACUGCACUUGUAUGUUUUAGUACAUACUUAUUUAUCUGUGUGUGUUAAAGUGUCUUUUCUUCUGGAUUGAUUGAUUGAUUGUUAGUUUUGUGACAGGAUCUCACUAGUUACUUUUGUUGUCCUGCAAUUCCCUAUGAAGACCCGCUUGGCCUAAAGCUCACAGAGCUCAUCUGCCUCUGCCUCUCAGUGCUAGGAUCAAAGGUGUACUCCACAAGUCUGGCUUCUCAGAGGUCUAAAGUUAAGUAAAUACCUAGAUUUGCGGAUGUAUCAGGGGUCACCAGACACUGCAGAAGUAAUAAUUAAAAAAAAAAAAAUUACUUCAGAAGACAGCCUAUAUCUCAAGAAAAAAAAUGGAAUUUAUCCAAUGUGGAGAUCCAGAAUGAUCAUGGUGGCUGCUGUUUGUCACCAGACAAAUGAGUUAUCUUUAUAAUAAAUGACUUCCAAAAUAACAAUGAAAAAUUAUAUAUUAAGCAACCUUAAUAAAUACUCUGCAAAAUUGAAUGAACUAUAGAAGAAAAAAAGAGAGAAACUCAAAAUAAGAACUGAAGAAAAUAAUUCAAACACUGGGACCUCACACUUAAGAUCACCACACUUAAGGUAGGAACUGGAGAGUCAGGAGGCUCAGUGGUUAAGAGUUGUCACUGAUCUUGCAGACAACUGCAGUUUAGUUCCCUGCACCCACAACAGGCUGCUCACAAACACCUGUAACUAACUUCAGCUACAAGAGAUUGAGCACCCUCUUCAGGUGCUCACUCAUGUCCAUAUACAAGCAUCUACACUCAUGUCCAUAUACCACACAUGUCCAUGCACACAGACAUACACACACACACAAUUAACAUAAAAUUCAUCUUAAGCUCAAAUCCUUGGCACAGACUGGAGGUAAUCAAAGUUCCAUAGCUACUUAAGAUUUUCGUCUUUAGCUUGUUAAAAUGCAGCACUUACCAUGUCAUAAACAGGGUGCUGUUCAACAACAUAAUUAUGGAGCUGGCAAGAUGGCUCAUGCAGAUAAAUGUACUUGUUGCACAAGUGUGAGUCCUGGAAUCCAUGUAAGGGUGGAAGGAGAGAACCACACCACAAAAUUGUCCUCCAAUGUCUACUUGAGUGUGGUGAUACGCACAGGACCCCUCCCCAUCAUAUAUAUGUGUGUACACACAACAAUCAAAUUUUAAAGAAACCAAUUAGCCAUAAUUACUUUAGACUUACAGCACACUAGUAACGCUCAGAAAAUAGCAGAUAUGGCUCCACCUCUGGAGGAAAGGAGACAAAUAGAAGCCAAAGUUACUCAUGAUCAUAAAGGAUAUUUCAAAGGCACAGCAUCAGGUCCUAGGCGGAGUGUCCCCCUGCCUAUGUAACGGAGAAAGUAGAAUCUCUAUUAGAGCUGUUCCAAACAUUACCAUUUC